GCGGACAGAAGGGAGCUUGCUCCCGGAUGUUAGCGGCGGACGGGUGAGUAACACGUGGGUAACCUGCCUGUAAGACUGGGAUAACUCCGGGAAACCGGAGCUAAUACCGGAUAGUUCCUUGAACCGCAUGGUUCAAGGAUGAAAGACGGUUUCGGCUGUCACUUACAGAUGGACCCGCGGCGCAUUAGCUAGUUGGUGAGGUAACGGCUCACCAAGGCGACGAUGCGUAGCCGACCUGAGAGGGUGAUCGGCCACACUGGGACUGAGACACGGCCCAGACUCCUACGGGAGGCAGCAGUAGGGAAUCUUCCGCAAUGGACGAAAGUCUGACGGAGCAACGCCGCGUGAGUGAUGAAGGUUUUCGGAUCGUAAAGCUCUGUUGUUAGGGAAGAACAAGUGCAAGAGUAACUGCUUGCACCUUGACGGUACCUAACCAGAAAGCCACGGCUAACUACGUGCCAGCAGCCGCGGUAAUACGUAGGUGGCAAGCGUUGUCCGGAAUUAUUGGGCGUAAAGGGCUCGCAGGCGGUUUCUUAAGU
rnacentral:rRNA from 1 species